rnacentral:rRNA from 1 species
CAGCGGAGCGUGUGGUUUAAUUCGUUGCUACACGAAGAACCUUACCUGGGUUUGACAUAUAGGUUGUAGGGAACUGAAAGGGACGACCCUUCGGGAGCCUAUACAGGUGUUGCAUGGCUGUCGUCAGCUCGUGUCGUGAGAUGUUCGGUUAAGUCCGCUAACGAGCGCAACCCUCGUCGUAUGUUAUAUGUGUCAUACGAGACUGCCGGUAAAAGCCGGAGGAAGGUGAGGAUGAUGUCAAGUCAGCAUGACCUUUAUAUCCAGGGCUACACACACGCUACAAUGGUCUGUACAAUGGGUAGCCAAGCCGCGAGGCGGAGCCAAUCCUGAAAGCAGGCCUCAGUUCAGAUUGCAGUCUGCAACUCGACUGCAUGAAGCCGGAGUUGCUAGUAACCGCAGGUCAGCAAUACUGCGGUGAAUACGUUCCCGGGUCUU